CGGCGCGCCUAACACAUGCAAGUCGAACGGUUAAAGCAUCUUCGGAUGUGUAUAAAGUGGCGAACGGCUGAGUGACACGUGGGCAACCUGCCCUUUGCACUGGGAUAGCCUCGGGAAACCGAGGUUAAUACCGGAUACUCCAUAUCCACCGCAUGAUAGAUAUGGGAAAGCUCCGGCGGCAAAGGAUGGGCCCGCGGCCUGUUAGCUAGUUGGUGGGGUAGUGGCCUACCAAGGCAAUGAUGGGUAGCCGGGUUGAGAGACCGACCGGCCAGAUUGGGACUGAGACACGGCCCAGACUCCUACGGGAGGCAGCAGUGGGGAAUCUUGCACAAUGGGCGAAAGCCUGAUGCAGCGACGCCGCGUGCGGGAUGAAGGCCUUCGGGUUGUAAACCGCUUUCAGCAGGGACGAGGCCGCAAGGUGACGGUACCUGCAGAAGAAGCCCCGGCUAAC
rnacentral:rRNA from 2 species